rnacentral:lncRNA from 1 species
GUGAGGGGGCGAGCGGCGGAGAGAGCGCAGCCCACCGAGCUCCGGCCCCCUCCCCUUUCUCUCUCUGGCCCGGGCCUAUGCGGCCCCCCAGAGACCAUGGGAUCCAGGAUCAAUUGUGAACCUAAGCUAUAAGCGUCUUUCUUGAAAUAAUCCUGUGUCAGGAGGAUGCUACUGGAGAUGAGGAGUUUGCUAAAGAACAGCCAUGAAAAAUUAAGAGAUUUUACUCAGUUUUCACUCUUCCAUGCAGGAUUCUUGAAGUCAGCACAGACUCCUAAGGUAUUUGCUGACCAAAGAAUGAUGCUUACUUGUCAUCUUUUAUUUAUCUUGUGUUUGGAAAGAUGUCUUCCCAAAGAGUCUUAACAUAAUGAGUAUUAGAAUCUGCAGAUAUUGAUGAAAUUGAUCUGUGAAGUAAUCUUUCUUGCUGUCGGCACACAGGCUUUCUAAGCCAUGAUUUUAAUGAAAAUGAAGAAGUUAACGCUUUUGCCUGUCUGUUGUGGGGAAUAAUUUGGGAACAAAGUACUUGUCACAAACAGAUGAGAAAAAUUUUCAGGCCCUCUCUGGCCUUUAUUUUUACAUUUUAAAUCUUGCUAUUGCAAAAUAAAAUAAUAUCUUUUGGCUGUUAAAACUUCA